AGUUAACGUUGGCGGCGUGCCUAACACAUGCAAGUCGAACGCGUCCUAAGGGCAACUUUAGGAUGAGUGGCGAACGGGUGAGUAUCACGUGGGUAAUCUUCCUUUAAGUGGGGAAUAAGCUCUCGAAAGGGAGUCUAAUACCGCAUGACAUUCCGGGACACAAGUCCCGUAAUCAAAGCCGCAAGGCGCUUGAAGAUGAGCCUGCGUCCUAUUAGCUAGUUGGUGGGGUAACGGCCUACCAAGGCUCAGAUGGGUAGCCGGCCUGAGAGGGUGAACGGCCACACUGGGACUGAGGACACGGCCCAGACUCCUACGGGAGGCAGCAGUGAGGAAUUUUGCGCAAUGGGGGAAACCCUGACGCAGCGACGCCGCGUGGAGGAUGAAGGCCUUCGGGUCGUAAACUCCUGUCAGAGGUGAAGAAUGCCCGCAAGGGUUUGACGGUAACCUCAGAGGAAGCCCCGGCUAACUACGUG
rnacentral:rRNA from 1 species